AUUGAACGCUGGCGGCAUGCCUUACACAUGCAAGUCGAACGGCAGCACGGGUGCUUGCACCUGGUGGCGAGUGGCGAACGGGUGAGUAAUACAUCGGAACAUGUCCUGUAGUGGGGGAUAGCCCGGCGAAAGCCGGAUUAAUACCGCAUACGAUCUACGGAUGAAAGCGGGGGACCUUCGGGCCUCGCGCUAUAGGGUUGGCCGAUAGCGGAUUAGCUAGUUGGUGGGGUAAAGGCCUACCAAGGCGACGAUCAGUAGCUGGUCUGAGAGGACGACCAGCCACCCUGGGACUGAGACACGGCCCAGACUCCUACGGGAGGCAGCAGUGGGGAAUUUUGGACAAUGGGCGAAAGCCUGAUCCAGCAAUGCCGCGUGUGUGAAGAAGGCCUUCGGGUUGUAAAGCACUUUUGUCCGGAAAGAAAUCCUUGGCUCUAAUACAGUCGGGGGAUGACGGUACCGGAAGAAUAAGCACCGGCUAACUACGUG
rnacentral:rRNA from 1 species